UACGAAGGGGGCUAGCGUUGCUCGGAAUCACUGGGCGUAAAGGGUGCGUAGGCGGGUCUUUAAGUCCGGGGUGAAAUCCUGGAGCUCAACUCCAGAACUGCCUUUGAUACUGAAGAUCUUGAGUUCGGGAGAGGUGAGUGGAACUGCGAGUGUAGAGGUGAAAUUCGUAGAUAUUCGCAAGAACACCAGUGGCGAAGGCGGCUCACUGGCCCGAUACUGACGCUGAGGAGCGAAAGCAUGGGUAGCGAACAGG
rnacentral:rRNA from 1 species